GAUGCAUCACCCUAUACAGAUGAAACCUGCUGACAGUGAGAAGAACAAUGCAGUGGAAGACAGGAAGCUGUUUAUUGGUAUGAUUUCCAAGAAGUGCACUGAAAAUGACAUCCGAGUCAUGUUCUCUUCGUUUGGACAGAUUGAAGAAUGCCGGAUAUUGCGGGGACCUGAUGGCCUGAGCCGAGGGUUGCUCAUCACCCAUGGUGGUAAAAUUUGCUGAUACACAGAAGGACAAAGAACAGAAGAGAAUGGCCCAGCAGCUCCAGCAGCAGAUGCAGCAAAUCAGCGCAGCAUCUGUGUGGGGAAACCUUGCUGGUCUAAAUACUCUUGGACCCCAGUAUUUAGCACUUUAUUUGCAGCUCCUUCAGCAGACUGCCUCCUCUGGGAACCUCAACACCCUGAGCAGCCUCCACCCAAUGGGAGGGUUGAAUGCAAUGCAGUUACAGAAUUUGGCUGCACUAGCUGCUGCAGCUAGUGCAGCUCAGAACACACCAAGUGGUACCAAUGCUCUCACUACAUCCAGCAGUCCCCUCAGCGUGCUCACUAGUUCAGG
rnacentral:sRNA from 1 species